UACGAAGGGGGGCUAGCGUUGCUCGGAAUCACUGGGCGUAAAGCGCACGUAGGCGGAUUGUUAAGUCAGGGGUGAAAUCCUGGAGCUCAACUCCAGAACUGCCUUUGAUACUGCAAAUCUCGAGUCCGGAAGAGGUGAGUGGAAUUCCUAGUGUAGAGGUGAAAUUCGUAGAUAUUAGGAAGAACACCAGUGGCGAAGGCGGCUCACUGGUCCGGUACUGACGCUGAGGUGCGAAAGCGUGGGGAGCAAACAGG
rnacentral:rRNA from 1 species